UUUAUGGAGAGUUUGAUCCUGGCUCAGAGUGAACGCUGGCGGCGUGCCUAAUACAUGCAAGUCGAACGAUGAAGCUUCUAGCUUGCUAGAAUGCUGAUUAGUGGCGCACGGGUGAGUAACGCAUAGGUCAUGUGCCUCUUAGUUUGGGAUAGCCAUUGGAAACGAUGAUUAAUACCAGAUACUCCCUACGGGGGAAAGAUUUAUCGCUAAGAGAUCAGCCUAUGUCCUAUCAGCUUGUUGGUAAGGUAAUGGCUUACCAAGGCUAUGACGGGUAUCCGGCCUGAGAGGGUGAACGGACACACUGGAACUGAGACACGGUCCAGACUCCUACGGGAGGCAGCAGUAGGGAAUAUUGCUCAAUGGGGGAAACCCUGAAGCAGCAACGCCGCGUGGAGGAUGAAGGUUUUAGGAUUGUAAACUCCUUUUGUUAGAGAAGAUAAUGACGGUAUCUAACGAAUAAGCACCGGCUAACUCCGUGCCAGCAGCCGCGGUAAUACGGAGGGUGCAAGCGUUACUCGGAAUCACUGGGCGUAAAGAGCGCGUAGGCGGGAUAGUCAGUCAGGUGUGAAAUCCUAUGGCUUAACCAUAGAACUGCAUUUGAAACUACUAUUCUAGAGUGUGGGAGAGGUAGGUGGAAUUCUUGGUGUAGGGGUAAAAUCCGUAGAGAUCAAGAGGAAUACUCAUUGCGAAGGCGACCUGCUGGAACAUUACUGACGCUGAUUGUGCGAAAGCGUGGGGAGCAAACAGGAUUAGAUACCCUGGUAGUCCACGCCCUAAACGAUGGAUGCUAGUUGUUGGAGGGCUUAGUCUCUCCAGUAAUGCAGCUAACGCAUUAAGCAUCCCGCCUGGGGAGUACGGUCGCAAGAUUAAAACUCAAAGGAAUAGACGGGGACCCGCACAAGCGGUGGAGCAUGUGGUUUAAUUCGAAGAUACACGAAGAACCUUACCUAGGCUUGACAUUGAGAGAAUCCGCUAGAAAUAGUGGAGUGUCUGGCUUGCCAGACCUUGAAAACAGGUGCUGCACGGCUGUCGUCAGCUCGUGUCGUGAGAUGUUGGGUUAAGUCCCGCAACGAGCGCAACCCCCUUUCUUAGUUGCUAACAGGUCAUGCUGAGAACUCUAAGGAUACUGCCUCCGUAAGGAGGAGGAAGGUGGGGACGACGUCAAGUCAUCAUGGCCCUUACGCCUAGGGCUACACACGUGCUACAAUGGGGUGCACAAAGAGAAGCAAUACUGCGAAGUGGAGCCAAUCUUCAAAACACCUCUCAGUUCGGAUUGUAGGCUGCAACUCGCCUGCAUGAAGCUGGAAUCGCUAGUAAUCGCAAAUCAGCCAUGUUGCGGUGAAUACGUUCCCGGGUCUUGUACUCACCGCCCGUCACACCAUGGGAGUUGUGUUUGCCUUAAGUCAGGAUGCUAAAUUGGCUACUGCCCACGGCACACACAGCGACUGGGGUGAAGUCGUAACAAGGUAACCGUAGGUGAACCUGCGGUUGGAUCACCUCCUUUCUAGA
rnacentral:rRNA from 1 species